rnacentral:rRNA from 1 species
AGUGAACGCUGGCGGUAGGCCUAACACAUGCAAGUCGAACGGCAGCACAGUAAGAGCUUGCUCUUACGGGUGGCGAGUGGCGGACGGGUGAGGAAUACAUCGGAAUCUACUUUUUCGUGGGGGAUAACGUAGGGAAACUUACGCUCAUACCGCAUACGACCUACGGGUGAAAGCAGGGGAUCUUCGGACCUUGCGCGAUUGAAUGCGCCGAUGUCGGAUUAGCUAGUUGGCGGGGUAAAGGCCCACCCAGGCGACGAUCCGUAGCUGGUCUGAGAGGAUGAUCAGCCACACAGGAACUGAGACACGGUCCAGACUCCUACGGGAGGCAGCAGUGGCGAAUAUUGGACAAUGGGCGCAAGCCUGAUCCAGCCAUACCGCGUGGGUGAAGAAGGCCUUCGGGUUGUAAAGCCCUGUUGUUGGGAAAGAAAAGCAGCAGGUUAAUACCCCGCUGUGCUGACGGUACCCAAAGAAUAAGCACCGGCUAACUUCGU